rnacentral:lncRNA from 1 species
GGAGACGGAAAGCAGUGAACCUCUGUAAAAGCUUAGAGUCUCCUAAGCAAGGGCAGGGCACACACCGGGACAGAACAGCAAAUCGAUGACUUUAGUCGCUAAACUAAAGCUUCAUUCUCCUUAAGAAUGACUCUCCUCCAUCGCCACCCCUCACCCCACUUGAGGACUUAUCUGGAAUUUCAAAUGUUUGUUCCUGCAAAUGCAUCUUCCAUCCUGGGUGACAGGAAGUGUCUGGUUCCAUGACGAUGAAGCAGCCACAAGGCCUCUCUGUGUCAGUGCUGGAGAGAGAGAGCUUCCUUCCUCCUGUCCUGGACCCCUCCUGGAGGGACGCUCCCAAGGCUGAGAUGACACAGUCAUUUCCCGCAUGCUGUCUAGCACUGACCCACCCAUCGCCCUUGUCCUGGUGCUGGUCUGCAGCAGCAGUGAGGGGGACCCCUUUGUGUGAGGGCUGCACUGGCCAUCGUUCAGGAAAAGGCAAUAGAGCCUCUGCAGUCUUUGAACGCCCUCGGUGCCUCCAGCGCAUUGGCCUUAGGACAACACUCCUUACGGGGGGUCUCUGAAGUCUGCCCGGAAGACACUCUUCCAGCCCACCGGGUCCUGCAGCCAAAGUGCAUGGUGUCCCCUGGCCCUGGAACAAGUCUCUGUGUGACCCUGAGGGUCCCUGUAGAAACAGCCACAUGGCCCCUCCUUCAUGGAGCCCAGCGUUCCUUGUUGAUUUUCGGCUUUCUUACCUGGCCUCCGCUGUCCAUCCUUGAGGUGGGCUGGUGCUCUAGGGACUUCCUGCAAUGACGGGUUUGUGUUGGGUACAGAAAGAAGCUAUUGUAGAACCGUCCGACGAUGGAGCCUUCAGGGACGCGGUGGCCCCGGAGCACAUGGUGACAUGCUGGAGAAGCUGGGCAGUGCCCAGGAGUUGGCACGUGGGGACUCGGUUCGCUGAGUUCGCUGAAAGCAAAUCCGUGUUUUGCAUGAGCGGCCUGUGUGUCUGCUGGCUCUAAACCUGCCUUGUUUUGUCCAGCUGUGGCUGGGAUCUGUGACUCCUUGGAAGGCAUUUCACCUCACUCAGAGUCACAAAAUUCAAGCAAUGACAAGAACAGUGCCUGGAGUAGAAUACCAUUUAAAUUUUAUUUAUAUUCAUUUAUUCACUGUCAAAUAUCCUUUUUAUUUAACCAAAUUUCAAACUGUUAGAAACAGUGGAGGUUAUGGAACCCAGAGUCAGGCAGAUCCUCAGAGUUUGUCUUUAUUUGCAGCUGUGAGCACAGAACUCACGUAUGUUCAUCUCAGAAAGAUCACAGAAGCACAGGUGCUUAGAAGAGCUGACACCAAGCAUGUGGAAGGAAUUUAACUUCUUCAUGUAUUGGUACAACUGAAACAAAUUAUGCCUAAGCUGGGGAGACCUGCACCAGCUACUGGAUUGGUUGAGGAAGAUGAGAUAAUAUGAUACCCUAUUUAAUAGGAAGAUUAUUUUACAUAUAAUUUUCCACAUAUAAUUUAGGGAAAAUAGUAAUUUAUUAAAGGACUCUCAGGGACUUGUAGUUGAGAAAAUGUUAACUAUUUGGGUUAAGGGACAUGUUCACUAACUCUGAGAUUUAUAGCAUAGUUGUGAGUGGCUGACAUUUACUAUCUACUAUUUAUUUUUAACGAGUAUAUAUGAUUAAUAAUUAGUAUUUACAAAGUACUUCCACAAAAAUCUUCUUCUGGUGCCCAUGACAAUCCUGUGAGGUAGAUAUUGUGGGUAUUUUAUAUCUACACUAUAUUUUAAAGCUAAAAGAACCAAAGCCGAAAUGAAUAGUUGGCUUGCUCAGGGCACCCACCCAGCCAGCACGUGGAGGUGUCUGAAAUUAACCUCAGGCUUCUUAUUUCCAAAACCAAUCUGUUGCCCAAGGUCCCAGCUCACAACUAGAGCAGAAGCCUCUUUGAACAGAUCACAGCUUAUGUAUGUAUUCACGUGUAAUCUCCACAGUAGCUACGCUAGGUCAUUGCAUGUACAUGAAGGUACGUGAAGGAAUGGAUGGAAUUAUCUUACAUUAGGGAAGAUGCUAACCUCCCAGCUGAAUUUUGGCGUUAGCAUGACACUUAGCAUCUUUCUUGGCUGUUAAAAUAAAGCAUAACAGGGUGGCAGGAGAGGAUGAUAUACCACCACUAAAUACAGUUGGAUCCCAAAGGUGUGUACUUGGCCUCUCUGUUUCUAUUGGUUCAUUGCCUUUUUCUUAUUCAAAAACAUAUUUAAAAUUUUGAAGUAUUUAAAACAAAAAACAAAUGCAAGUACCACAUACCCAUUCCUCAUGCCCUCGCCAAAUGGAUCUGGGGCAAGUUAGAAUGCUGCUCCAUUUCCUUCAAAUAGUUAAUUUUCAAACAAUAAGUAAUGUGUAAAAACUGUAUCUAAAGCCUCUCCCUCCAUCACAGAGUUAGCCACAGCUCUGAAGUCAGGACGGAUGUCUGCUAAGUUUGCCUAUAUUUACCUAUUUUUUCCUAUACUUAUAGGUACAUGCGUGUACCUGAAACACCGCCAAGCAUCCUUUUACAUUUUCAUGCUUUGAAUAAAUGUCAUCAUUUUUCCAAUGUGUGUGUUCACUCAAUAUUACAUCAGGAUAUGUGACAAUUACCAGGAGAAUAUUUACUGAGCUCUUUGAUAAGCCAGACUUGGUGCCAUUCACUCACACAAGUUCUCCUACAGACGUGUGAGGAGUAAUCACUCCUCACCAGGGGCUGGGACACGGACCCACCCGGGCUGCGCCGACACCUCCACACGCCCGUGUCUGCCCCGUGCUGCCCUUGACUGGGCCAUUGCCCCACUGACCAGGCCAAAGUUCAUCCGUCCAUUCCUCUAAUGAUGGACUCUUACGUUGCCGUUUCAAGCAACGCUGCAGCAAACAUCCAUCUCUCUGUCUUUCUGUCCACGCAAGCAAGACUCUCUCUGUAUAGAUACCCCAUGUCUCUCCCAGGUAGCUGUAUGUGUUUCAUCUGUCACAAACUACCACAGACUUGGGGGCUUAAAACACAGCAAAUUUAUCCUCCUACCAUUCUGGAGGGCGGAGGUCCACAAUCAUUCUCCCUGGGCUGAGUUCCAGGUGUUGGCAGGGCUGACUCCCGGAGGUUCUAGGGAAGAAGCUGUUUCUUUGCCUUUUGCAGCUUCUAGAAGCCAGUGGCUCUGGGCCUCCUCUUCCACUGUGAAAGCUGGGAACAUCUGUGAGUCCUUCUCAAGCUGUGCCUCUCCUAUUUUCUCCCUUAUGCUUCCCUCUUCCUCUCAUGAGGACCCCUGUGAUUAUCACACUGGGUCCACCCGGACAAUUGGGGAUAGUUUCCCCUCUCGGGUCAGUUGAUAGCCACCUAAUUCCCUUGGCAAACUUCAUCCCCCUGUGCCACAUCAACUGACAUAUUCACAAGUUCUGGGGAUUAGGACGCGGACAUCUCUGGGGGACCAUUGUUCUUCUGACCACACUCCCACCUGCCAUGCCCAAGACUUCCAACUUUCUCACUUCCAAAACAUGGUAUUGUCAGGCCUUUGUAAUGGUGCCAAAUCAAACAGAUAUAAAAUGGUGUUUAAUUAGGGUUCAUUAUGUGCAUUUCUCAGUUUAUAAUGAGGUUGAACAAUUUUCAUAUUUUUCUUGGCCUUCUAGUUUCCUUUGUGAAUUAACCUCUACAUACCCUUUUCCCCCAUUUUCUCAUUGUUUUCAUUGAUGUGUAGGAGUCCUUAAAUGUGGACACUAGUUUUUGGUGAGUGGUAAGUUACAGGUUUUGCGAGUAUCACUUCCCCAGCUGAGGCUUGUCUAUAAAUUUGUUGAUGGUGUUUUGGCUGAGUGCAGGGUUUUGGGUCAAUGUCAUCAUAUUUAGGGAUCUUUUCAUUUAUGAUUUGUGGGUUUUAAAAAGUUGUAUUUGUAGAGCUCCUAUGCAGUCUGCUAUUAUACAGCUAUUCCUUAUUGUUAUUAGCAGUUUAGCAUCUUUGCCUUUUGCCUGGAGGUGCCCGUGAUACUUGCCCUUGUGUAGGAGGAGAGCUCUGCUGCUGAUUCCGGGUGCUUGUCCUCCAUGACCAUCUCCUCACCGCUGUGGAUGGAUCCACUCUUUCCCUGAUUCUGGGUGCCUGUCCUCCAUGAGCAUCUUCUCACCACUGUGGAUGGAUCUGCUCUUUCCCUGAUUCUGGGUGCCUGUCCUCCAUGACCUCCAUGACCAUCUCCUCACCGCUGUGGAUGGAUCCGCUGUUUCCCUGAUUCCGGGUGCCUGUCCUCCAUGACCAUCUCCUCACCGCUGUGGAUGGAUCCGCUGUUUCCCUGAUUCUGGGUGCCUGUCCUCCAUGAGCAUCUUCUCACCACUGUGGAUGGAUCCACUCUUUCCCUGAUUCUGGGUGCCUGUCCUCCAUGAGCAUCUUCUCACCACUGUGGAUGGAUCUGCUCUUUCCCUGAUUCCGGGUGCCUGUCCUCCAUGACCAUCUCCUCACCGCUGUGGAUGGAUCUGCUCUUUCCGUGAUUCCGGGUGUCUGUCCUCCAUGACCUCCAUGACCAUCUCCUCACCGCUGUGGAUGGAUCCACUCUUUCCCUGAUUCUGGGUGCCUGUCCUCCAUGACCAUCUCCUCACCGCUGUGGAUGGAUCUGCUCUUUCCGUGAUUCCGGGUGUCUGUCCUCCAUGACCUCCAUGACCAUCUCCUCACCGCUGUGGAUGGAUCUGCUCUUUCCCACUGGCCUGUGCUGGCUCCAGCUACCUGGGCAUCACGUACGUGAGGUCUCCUCCUGGGGACACAGCUAUUCUCUUUCACAGUUUAUUUCUUCAUCCUCCAGUGACAAAUAAGUCAACUCUGCAGCUUUUGAAUAAGGCUUGAUAACGACUCUCAGCCAAAUAUCGCAGCUUUUCUUCUUCCAUGCUGUCUUGGCCAUUUGGGUUCUUUAUACCUGUGUGGAUCACAGGAUCAUCUUGUCAAGUGAAAAGCCUCUGUUGGGUUUCAAUGGAAUUGCAUUUAUAUUUAUAGGCUGACUUGGGAGAUUAUGACGAUCUUCAUAACAAGUCUUCAUGUCAGUUAACCUAGUUCUAUUCUAUGCACCUCAGUAAAUUUUUAAAUUUUUUUCUUAAAAUUAUGCCCAUAUUUUCUUACAUGUAUCCCUAUAUGCCUUUUCUGUAUAAUAAAUAAAAUUGGAAUUUUAAGUUAGGUGCA